rnacentral:rRNA from 1 species
UGGGGAAUCUUAGACAAUGGGCGCAAGCCUGAUCUAGCCAUGCCGCGUGAGUGAUGAAGGCCUUAGGGUCGUAAAGCUCUUUCGCCUGUGAUGAUAAUGACAGUAGCAGGUAAAGAAACCCCGGCUAACUCCGUGCCAGCAGCCGCGGUAAUACGGAGGGGGUUAGCGUUGUUCGGAAUUACUGGGCGUAAAGCGCACGUAGGCGGAUUGGAAAGUUGGGGGUGAAAUCCCGGGGCUCAACCCCGGAACUGCCUCCAAAACUAUCAGUCUAGAGUUCGAGAGAGGUGAGUGGAAUUCCAAGUGUAGAGGUGAAAUUCGUAGAUAUUUGGAGGAACACCAGUGGCGAAGGCGGCUCACUGGCUCGAUACUGACACUGAGGAGCGAAAGCAUGGGUAGCGAAGAGG